CGCCUCUUGAUAGGUUAUAGAGGUCCAGCCUGACCAGUACUUAGUUCAACGGCCGCGGUAUUCUGACCGUGCGAAGGUAGCAUCAUAACUUGUUCUUUAAAUAGUACUAGUAUCGACGGCAUCACGAGGGUUAUACUGUCUCGUGUCUCUAAUCAGUGAAACUGAUCUCCCCGUGAAGAAGCGGGGAUAGUUCUAUAAGACGAGAAGACCCCAUGGAGCUUUAAACUCAACAACAACCUCCCCCACAAAAUUCUGUAUAGCCACGGAAGUCCUGUUUGUUAGUUUUGGGUUGGGGUGACCGCAGAGAAAAACUAAACCUCCACGACGAACGGAAUUAACUCCUAAUCUAAGAGCCACCGCUCUAAGAAUCAAUAAAUUGACAUAAAAUGAUCCGAUAAUCGAUCAACGGACCAAGUUACCCUGGGGAUAACAGCGCAAUCCAUUUCAAGAGCUCCUAUCGACAAAUGGGUUUACGACCUCGAUGUUGGAUCAGGGUAUCCAGUGGUGCAGCCGCUACUAAAGGUUCGUUUGUUCAACAAUUAAAACCCU
rnacentral:rRNA from 1 species